rnacentral:pre_miRNA from 1 species
AUGUCCUCAUGAUGUGAGGGACAUGGGGGCAGUCAACAGCCCAAUAUCCCUUUUAAUGGCAC